rnacentral:rRNA from 1 species
UACGGGGGGGGCAAGCGUUGUUCGGAAUUACUGGGCGUAAAGGGUUCGUAGGUGGCCAACUAAGUCAUACGUGAAAUCCCUCAGCUUAACUGGGGAACUGCGUCUGAUACUGGUUGGCUUGAGUGCAGGAGAGGAACGCGGAAUUCCAGGUGUAGCGGUGAAAUGACGUAGAUAUCGGGAGGAACACCGGUGGCGAAGGCGGCGACCUGGGUAGAUACUGACGCUGAGGUGCGAAAGCGUGGGGAGCAAACAGG